rnacentral:rRNA from 1 species
GGACUACAAGGGUUUCUAAUCCUGUUUGCUCCCCACGCUUUCGCGCCUCAGCGUCAGCAUCGGCCCAGCGAGCCGCCUUCGCCACCGGUGUUCUUCCCGAUAUCUACGCAUUCCACCGCUACACCGGGAAUUCCACUCGCCUCUACCGAGCUCUAGCCAGACAGUCUCACCUGCAGCCCCGGAGUUGAGCCCCGGGAUUUCACAAGUGACUUAUCCAGCCGCCUACGCGCCCUUUACGCCCAGUGAUUCCGGACAACGCUCGCACCCUCCGUAUUACCGCGGCGGCUGGCAC